rnacentral:rRNA from 1 species
UACGGAGGGUGCAAGCGUUAUCCGGAUUUACUGGGUUUAAAGGGUGCGUAGGUGGGUCUGUAAGUCAGUGGUGAAAUCUCCGAGCUUAACUCAGAAACUGCCAUUGAUACUAUAGGUCUUGAAUUAUCUGGAGGUAAGCGGAAUAUGUCAUGUAGCGGUGAAAUGCUUAGAUAUGACAUAGAACACCAAUUGCGAAGGCAGCUUACUAGGGAUAUAUUGACACUGAGGCACGAAAGCGUGGGGAUCAAACAGG